CCUACGGGUGGCAGCAGUGGGGAAUAUUGGGCAAUGGGCGCAAGCCUGACGCAGCAACGCCGCGUGAAGGAAGAAGGCUUUCGGGUUGUAAACUUCUUUUCUCAGGGACGAAUUAAGUGACGGUACCUGAAGAAUAAGCCACGGCUAACUACGUGCCAGCAGCCGCGGUAAUACGUAGGGGGCAAGCGUUAUCCGGAUUUAGUGGGUGUAAGGGGCGUGUAGGCGGGAGCGCAAGUCAGAUGUGAAAACUGAGGGCUCAACCCUGAGCCUGCAUUUGAAACUGUGUUUCUUGAGUGCUGGAGAGGCAAUCGGAAUUCCGUGUGUAGCGGUGAAAUGCGUAGAUAUACGGAGGAACACCAGUGGCGAAGGCGGAUUGCUGGACAUUAACUGACGCUGAGGCGCGAAAGCGUGGGGAGCAAACAGGAUUAGAUACCCCAGUAGUC
rnacentral:rRNA from 1 species